rnacentral:tRNA from 1 species
AUCUUUCUAGUAUUAAAUUUAGUACAAGUGACUUCCAAUCACUCAGCCUUGGUUAGAAUCCAAGGAAAGAUA